UACGGAGGGCGCAGGCGUUAUCCGGAUUCACUGGGUUUAAAGGGUGCGUAGGUGGGCAGGUAAGUCAGUGGUGAAAUCUCCGGGCUUAACUCGGAAACUGCCAUUGAUACUAUCUGUCUUGAAUACCGUGGAGGUCAGCGGAAUAUGUCAUGUAGCGGUGAAAUGCUUAGAUAUGACAUAGAACACCAAUUGCGAAGGCAGCUGGCUACACGAAUAUUGACACUGAUGCACGAAAGCGUGGGGAUCAAACAGG
rnacentral:rRNA from 1 species